rnacentral:misc_RNA from 1 species
AGCAGCCGCGGUAAUUCCAGCUCCAAUAGCGUAUAUUAAAGUUGCUGCAGUUAAAAAGCUCGUAGUUGAAUUUCGGGACCAUCAUGUCGGUCGUGCCUCGGUACGUACUGGCAUUGUUGGUUUCUACCUUCUGACGAACCAUGAUGUCAUUUAUUUGGUGUCGUGGGGAAUCAGGACUGUUACUUUGAAAAAAUUAGAGUGUUUAAAGCAGGCUCACGCUUGAAUACAUUAGCAUGGAAUAAUGAAAUAGGACGUUUGAUUCUAUUUUGUUGGUUUCUAGGAUCGACGUAAUGAUUAAUAGGGAUAGUUGGGGGCAUUAGUAUUCAAUUGUCAGAGGUGAAAUUCUUGGAUUUAUUGAAGACUAACUACUGCGAAAGCAUUUGCCAAGGAUGUUUUCAUUAAUCAAGAACGAAAGUUAGGGGAUCGAAGACGAUCAGAUACCGUCGUAGUCUUAACCAUAAACUAUGCCGACUAGGGAUCGGAUGAUGUUAAUUUUUUAAUGUACUCAUUC